rnacentral:rRNA from 1 species
AUUGAACGCUGGCGGCAGGCCUAACACAUGCAAGUCGAACGAGUGGCGGACGGGUGAGUCAUGUCUGGGAAACUGCCUGAUGGAGGGGGAUAACUACUGGAAACGGUAGCUAAUACCGCAUACCAUCAGAUGUGCCCAGAUGGGCUUCGCUAGUAGGUGGGGUAACGGCUCACCUAGGCGACGAUCCCUAGCUGGUCUGAGAGGAUGACCAGCGACACUGGAACGGAGACACGGUCCAGACUCCUACGGGAGGCAGGAGUGGGGAAUAUUGCACAAUGGGCGCAAGCCUGAUACAGCCAUGCCGCAUGUGUGAAGAAGGCCUGCGGGUUGUAAAGCACUUUCAGCGGGGGGGCGUUACCCGCAGAAGAAGCACCGGCUAACUCCGUGCCAGCAGCCGCGGUAAUUC